rfam:Triticum aestivum genome assembly, contig: Triticum_aestivum_CS42_TGACv1_scaffold_062651_1DL
CAGCUAUUCCCUCCGUUCGGAAUUACUUUUCAUAGAAAUGGAUGUAUCUAGACAUUUUUUAGUUCUAGAUACAUCCAUUUCUGUGACAAGUAAUUCGGAACGGAGGGAGUAGGUA